rnacentral:lncRNA from 1 species
UUAAUGAUAUAUAUGAUCAUGUACAAUUUUUUGAUUUUUUUCCCUUCUGAUUUAGGUCUGAUUUCUCUGUUUGUUGAUACGCAUUCAUAUUUUUGAUACCCCCACAGCAUAAUAAAGAAAAAAAUUUGUUUGCAUGUGAUGGUGAAUUUGGGGGUUAAUGUGUGAAGUGUGGUUGAUUUAUUUUUUGUGGUAAUCUGAUGAACUUAAAGAAACAGAUUGAUUCUUUUUUGGAUUUGAGGAGCGACAUUGGCUCUACUUGCAUACAUAGGCUUUUGCAUGUUGUGUUGAUUCUGUGUUUUGAAGGGUUGAAAGUUGAUUCUUUGAGCAAUGUG